CAUUGUCUUCCUAUUUAUUGCCUAUAGUACCUAGAAAAUUUGUUACGGAAGUGAAAGUGCUCGUGCAGACUGAACGAAAGACCACAGCGUCAAAGUAAUACAAGUUUAAGUGAGCGGCAAUGGCUGGAAUCCCAUCCUUGCUCCUUUCCACUCUGGAAGAUAUGCUAGCAGAGGAUCUGCGGAGGUUUAAGUUUUGGCUCUCGAACGAUUUGAGGCCUGAGGGCUUUGCACCCAUUGGACAGGGCAGACUGGAGGGCAAAGAACGGGAUGAAAUAGUGCAGCUGAUGGUGAGGACCUAUGGAGAAGAAGGUGCUGUGAAGGUCACACUGCAUGUCCUGAGGAAAGCGAACCAGAACGGCCUUGCUCAGAGGCUGGAGGAAGAUCUCGGGGGCAAUGCCAUAGCACAGGCUGUUCCUCCAUGCCCAGAGGGACAGGGCCAGAAUGGGGCGUCAUCCAAGGCAACCUCAGGACCUGUUCCACUGGUGUCCAUCCAGUGUGAUGGAGGGAAUGUUCAGGCACCUACGAUCAGCCAAAGUACAUUUUCUGGUGACGUGCACUUUAACUUUAACUCAGGCGCUGGAAACCCCACAAACAAUGCGGAAUAACCACUGUUCUCCACCGAAACACUGUUCUUAAACUUGGAUCACUGCAAGGCAGCUGAUCCAAAAUGAAGCUUCAUCACUUGCCCCAAACCUACCAAAGUGUGUCACAGCUGUCACGUCACCAGCGUCCAAUUAGAGCUUGCAUCACAUUUGAAAUCUAGCCUGCAGGGCAUCAAGUCUGAAAUCUAGCCUGCAGGUCAGCUAAUGGAAUGACUCCGCCAGACCUCCAGAUGAGUCUUGGAACCCCCACACAACUGCCAGAUCUCUCUGCUCCUCUGGAACCGGCUCAGAACAAUCGGCUGUUCCCUCACUCCGUAGUCACUUCCCCUGAGUCACAAUGUCUGUCUGUACCGGCAAUAGAAUAGAACUUCCUAUGGUGUUCAGCACAAGUGCCAUAAUUUACAAUUUGGCAUUCAGCAGACCGUUCAGCAGGAGUGAAGAUUCAACACCAGCAGCAUCUAUGAUUGACCGCCAAGUGCCGUGAAGACAAGACAUGUGCAUUGACGAUGAGGAAUGGACUACGGACAGUAGAAUCAUUGGUCAUCCUCUGACACAGACUUAUGAACUGCCUCUUCAGAAAGCUUCUUGGCUCCCUCCCCAUCCCUACCCCCAUAACCCUCCUAUCAUUUGUGCUAAUUCAGAUCAUGGUGUUUUAAUGAUUUUAAGUUUUUAUAGAUGUAAUUUGGAUGUAUCCUCUGGCUUGCUCAGGGUGUGGGUUCACAAAUACAAAGUCAUUCCGUCAUCUUAUUUUUAAUUUCCAUUUUUGUUUUAAUAGGUAGGUUUGACUUCAACUGAUGAAGUUGAAGUCAAAGGUGGAUGUUUGAUAACUUUUGU